AGAUGAGCAUGCGUCCCAUUAGCUAGUUGGUAAGGUAACGGCUUACCAAGGCAACGAUGGGUAGGGGUCCUGAGAGGGAGAUCCCCCACACUGGUACUGAGACACGGACCAGACUCCUACGGGAGGCAGCAGUGAGGAAUAUUGGUCAAUGGGCGCAAGCCUGAACCAGCCAUGCCGCGUGCAGGAUGACGGUCCUAUGGAUUGUAAACUGCUUUUGCACAGGAAGAAACACUCGGUCGUGACCGAGCUUGACGGUACUGUGAGAAUAAGGAUCGGCUAACUCCGUGCCAGCAGCCGCGGUAAUACGGAGGAUCCAAGCGUUAUCCGGAAUCAUUGGGUUUAAAGGGUCCGUAGGCGGCCAGAUAAGUCAGUGGUGAAAGCCCAUCGCUCAACGAUGGAACGGCCAUUGAUACUGUUUGGCUUGAAUUAUUUGGAAGUAACUAGAAUAUGUAGUGUAGCGGUGAAAUGCUUAGAGAUUACAUGGAAUACCAAUUGCGAAGGCAGGUUACUACAAAUUGAUUGACGCUGAUGGACGAAAGCGUGGGUAGCGAACAGGAUUAGAUACCCUGGUAGUCCACGCCGUAAACGAUGGAUACUAGCUGUUGGGAGCAAUCUCAGUGGCUAAGCGAAAGUGAUAAGUAUCCCACCUGGGGAGUACGUUCGCAAGAAUGAAACUCAAAGGAAUUGACGGGGGCCCGCACAAGCGGUGGAGCAUGUGGUUUAAUUCGAUGAUACGCGAGGAACCUUACCAAGGCUUAAAUGUAGAUUGACCGGUUUGGAAACAGACUUUUCGCAAGACAAUUUACAAGGUGCUGCAUGGUUGUCGUCAGCUCGUGCCGUGAGGUGUCAGGUUAAGUCCUAUAACGAGCGCAACCCCUGUUGUUAGUUGCCAGCGAGUCAUGUCGGGAACUCUAGCAAGACUGCCAGUGUAAACUGUGAGGAAGGUGGGGAUGACGUCAAAUCAUCACGGCCCUUACGCCUUGGGCUACACACGUGCUACAAUGGCCGGUACAGAGAGCAGCCACU
rnacentral:rRNA from 2 species